GAUGAACGCUGGCGGCGUGCCUAACACAUGCAAGUCGAACGGAGUCCAGCCUUAGAGACCUUCGGGUCAAAGAGGGGAAGACUGAGUGGCGGACGGGUGAGUAACACGUGGGCAACCUGGCUCAUAGAGGGGGAUAACAGAGAGAAAUUUCUGCUAAUACCGCAUAAGCACACACUGCCGCAUGGCAGAGUGUGAAAAGAGAAUCGCUAUGAGAUGGACCCGCGUCUGAUUAGCCAGUUGGCAGGGUAAGAGCCUACCAAGGCGACGAUCAGUAGCCGAUUUGAGAGGAUGAACGGCCACAUUGGGACUGAGACACGGCCCAAACUCCUACGGGAAGCAGCAGUGGGGGAUAUUGCACAAUGGGGGGAACCCUGAUGCAGCGACGCCGCGUGAGUGAAGAAGUAUUUCGGUAUGUAAAGCUCUAUCAGCAGGGAAGAUAAUGACAGUACCUGAAUAAGAAGCCCCGGCUAACUACGUG
rnacentral:rRNA from 1 species